AAAAAAAAGAAUUUACAUAAUUAUUUACAAAUUAACAAAUAGUAUUAUAGAAUAAAACCAAUAUGAGAUAAAGAUAUAGAUUGUUGAUACUGCAGUGUUACAUUUUGUUUACUAGAUCUUUUAUGGUAGACAGAGAUACCAAAGAAAUCAGCGCAAUUAAUGAAGUAUUCCCAAACAGCUCUGUUUUACUUUGCUGGUUUCAUGUUUUACAGGUAUUAUAUUAUUCAAUAUAUGUAUCAUACAUUUUACCUUAUUCUUUAUGGGAAAAAAAUCAGUUAUUAAAUGAGAGUUAUUCUGUGAAGUUUCACUCUUUUGGAUCAAUAAGUAUUAAUUGCAUUGGAUUUAACAUUUUAUAUCUUUUUUUUGUGUUUAUAAGCUUGAGGUCAGUUUUGAAUUAAUAAAUAGACUCUUUCGCAUUAAUACUUUCAUAGAUCAAAUAUUAUCUUGUUGAAAAAUAAUUAGUCAUGAUAUAUUCAAGACAAUGUUUAAUUAUUAUUAUCAAGAAUCUUUAAGACAUGAACUAAAUAUAAAUGAUUUGAUUUACAGGCUGUGUACAGAUUUUUGAAUAAAAAAGAAUCUGGUGUAUCAGGACCCAUGCACGCACAUACCAGAAAAAAAGUUAUUGACUAUAUUAGAACUAUGAAAAUAUGUACCAAGAAAGAAGACUUUUCUCAAAAAGUUAAAAUGUUGCAAGAGAAGAUGCCUUCCAAACAAAUAGCAGACUACUUGUUAGACAACUGGUGUACUGACAAGUGGGGAUGUCGAUGGGCCAACUAUGGAAGACAUUUUUUUCAUGAAGAUCAAGAUACAAAUAACUUAGUUGAAAGGUUAUUAAUACAUUUUAUUACUAUACACCUUAUAUUUUACAAGAUCGAAAUUUUAAGCAUCAUCUAAUUAUCAUCUGUUUGAUAAUAGUAACUAAGUAUAUUUUAUUUUGGGGAUAAAUUUUCUGAACUGUCUCUGUUUUUAUGACCUGAUUUAUAAAAAGUAUUACACUUUGUCUAAAUCCUACUUCUUCAUGGGUAACCAAAGACAUAGCAUGAUAUAAACUUUACAAUUUUUAACUAUAUGGAGAGGAUUUUUGCCGUUCUUUCAUGAUAGGGUUAUGCAAAUUUAAUACAAAUAUCAUAAUUGUCAAUGCAAGUCGAUAAUUACAUAAAAGCAGACAAAAUGAAAAAAUGUAGUCUAGCAAAACCUGAUGUGUAUGAGGAUAUUAAAACAAAAAAAUAUAAUGCUACUUAUAACAUUCAAAUGUUAACACAUUAAUAUUUUAUGUACUUUCUAUUUGUACAUUCAAAUAUAAAUCAUAAAUUCAAAGUCCUUAACAUUUUGUCAUUUUCAGGUUUUUCCUGGGCAUGAAAUACCAUUUCCUUGGUGGGUAUGCCAAUAGCAGAGUAGAGGACUUACUACUCCUUCUCCAUGGAAAUGUAACUAUGUUUUAUGACUAUCUGGAUGAACUCGCAAAGAUUGGUCGCCUGAAAAAUAUGGGAGGACAAAGGGGAGACAAAAGUAAAUUGACAGCAGAGAAUAUGCUCAAGGCAGGACUCGACCAAAUUGUGCAAUGGACUUCAUCCACAGAAUGCACUGUUCCAUCACAGACAGCAUUUGGGACGAUUUAUAAUGUGGACAUUGUCAAUGAAGUGUGCAAUUGUCCAGCAGCAACAACAAGAGGUAUUUUUUUAGCAU